rnacentral:sRNA from 1 species
CCAUUAAGGAACCCUACCGCUGGACGA